AUAUUUUGGGGGGUAACGGGGGUUGCGGGGGAUAGGCAGGACUAUGCUAGAGCAGGUGAAUGACAUUGAUAUAUCAUUGGUGCCGCUGAUGGCGCUGACCGGCAGCGAGGUCACAGCCUUGUCAGCGUCAAGCACUGACGCUCAGAUCUAUGCGGCAGAAGUGACAGUACAAGCUGUCGGUGGAGAUACAACUCAAGCAUCUGAGCUAUCCAUAGUGCAAAUCGAUCCGAAAAACCCAGGGUGGACUCGUAGAGUCAGGAUUGGUGCUUUUGAGCCAGGCAGGAAUCCAUGCCCGAACAGGAUAUCAGCAAUGGAGAAAUCAAUCUGUGGUUUUGCUGAAAACACCUCGGUGACAAUGUCAUCGUGCCAAGAUUAGGGACAAGCUUCGAUACAUUGGCGCACCAUUUCACCGGUCGCCCCCGCUCAUCCAGGCUUGCCCAACGUUAUCGGGCCGCUGCUCCGGAGAUCGACUUGGGCGGCUUCUCGUUCGUCAAUCAGCUGAAGUAUUUUGGUUUUUGCAUCGAGCGCCAGAGGCCCACGAGCAUCACCUCCACUUCCCCAUUGGCCCAGGUCGUCCCUUCCCAUUCUGUCGCUCUAUAAUGUCAGCCCUGAAACCGCCGGCGGCGCCAUAAUGAUGAGGGUCAAGGCCGAUGGUAUUCCUUCGGUAACAGUCCACCGUAAAGUGCAGGCCUACAUUUUGAUUCCCCUCUCUCUUUCCUCGAAGUUGAUAGUGCUAAUUGUGGCUGUUCUCUUUGGUGAUUGUUCAUGAAUCAUGGAGGCGGCGACGACGACAAGCGAGAGAGCUUUGCUCCGGUGUAGGCGAGCGAUCAGUAUAAGGAGGAGGCGGCCUAAACGGCUUCGAUAAAGAAUACUGACUGUAAAGAUCUCUGCCUUCUCCGGUCAAUUCUGGUCAACAAUUCUGGUAAAAAAUCUUAUAUUCUCAUUUGGCUGGGGUAUGCACAUUCAUCUUACAAUAACUGCAUAAAUGAAGGAAAUCUACGUACUAAAGAAGACGAGAGAAUAUAAAUAUUCAACGUCAGUUUAUUGACGCCUCUCCGUAAAGAUUGAUGAUAUAAAUCACUUUUGUUUCAACAUGCUAGGACUUGACUUCCAUCAGUUCAUCUUUGUACCCUGUUAUACGGACGAUUGCUCAUGUUGUUUCUUUCUCUUAAGUCAUUGAUUAAUUUUCCUGAGCAUUCCAAAUGGUUUGUUGACUGAUGAAUUCAGGCUUGCUAAAACUUUGUUUCUUCUCUGUUACUUUUGUAACUACUGUAAUAUCACACUAGAUCUUAAAUUGGAUGGUUUAGUCCGUACAAACUAUUUGAUGUAAGCUGAACUCUCGGGAAUGUUACUCAAGCAUUAGAGUUGAUGUUGAUCUUGUGCAAGAAUAGAAUAUGCUAGCCUUUACAAGAUAGAAUAUUGUAUUGUUUUUGCUCUAUGUAUUUCCUUGCAUCUUCUUGUAAUGACCGGACAAAGAGAAAAUGUAAAAAUGAAAGCAUUUAUGUAGGUGUAUAGGUUCCAAACUUGAUGUAAAUAUGCGCCACCAUCAGUGUCAACACAUUGAAAUUCAAUUAGUUUGAAUUUUACCAAAUGUUUCCAUUGUUCAAGUUUUCUAAAUAUUUGUAUAGUAGUUCUUUUCCCUAGAUGGACGAGCGCGGCAACGCGCGCCAUCAUGAUCUAGUGAUUUUUACAAUCUGUAUUCCUAGAUCAAUAUCAUCAUGCAGUAGAAAAGUUGCGAGUUAUUUUCCACAAAUGUCUCCAGUAAAGAUUUUCUAACCGAGAAUUCAGGUUCUACU